UCUUAUGGAUGAGUAAAGAAAGUGGUUUCUUGAGAUGGAAUCUACUCUGGCUGAAGACGCUGUGAA
rnacentral:pre_miRNA from 1 species